rnacentral:lncRNA from 1 species
CCGUGACGAUGCUGAUGCCGCUGUGAUCGACUACGUCACCGACGACCCCUUCUUCUUGUCUGAGUAACCAGGCAAGCAAACCCCCCUUGAGCAUUCCGAUAUCGCCUAUUUCUUUCCCUCUGAUACUUGCAUUAGAACUGCUACUUCUUUUUGUAUAAUCCUACUCUGAUGCAUAGCCUGAUUUUGUUACUUGCUUAUUGUUACCUUACCUGCUUAUCCUAAACUGCUUAGUAUAGGUUGAUUAUUGAUCCAUCAGUGACCCCCACCUUGUCCCAGUUGCCCCUCUUUAUGUUCGAUGACUCGAUUAAUGUGAUCGACGUCUAGGUCCCGACACCGCACAUCACCCCCCUAAUUGAACGACUUUGUAGAGUCACCAUCGAGUGCCGAGGGUGGAACCUCUUACAACACUCCUGGUGAGACCUCUGUAGUGUAGCUAUUCGGUCGUGGUCAUCGACGGUGAUUUCCUCCUUAACCACUUCCGAUACGGCUAUGUCGUGAAACCCCUUAAGUGUGAACCUCAGGGGUGGAUCCUCUUACAUUCACCUUGAUGAUUACAUCGAGUGGAAUUCACCGGGGGUGAUUCCUUGGGUUUUCCCCUUGAUGUUUGGACACACGGAUACUUGGACUUUACAGCUGUUACUUGGAAAGGCGGGUCAACCCUGAGAGGUACCCAUGAGUGAUGUGGAGACGGGUUGACCUGGAGAGUACCCGAGAGUUGAACAUGAGGCGUGGCCGGGCAUUCUUAGCCCUUGUCGCAAGUCCUCGAGACGGGGCGACAGGGUCACAUCUUUCGUGAGUCUCUGCUUGUUAUCGCGCGUUCCUAAUCCACUACGAUUUGGAUAUUUGAUCCGAGGGGCCUCUGGCCUGAUAGCACUAACCGUCACGUGGGCACAGUAUGGGUGUUCUGCGUUAUAUACAUCAGCCGAAGCUUAAUCGACGUCAGCGACUGAGCGGCGCGUGCCGGGUUGGACUGCGUAAGCUCCUACCUUAUUUAAGGAGGUAGCCAGGUCUGCUCAUCGGCCACGUACGCAACGUGCAGGAGUUCCCGGGGAGAUGGCCCAUGACCCCUGGGGGCAUAGGUUUAGUCCGGCGUGUUGACCUCUCUAUUAAGCCUAGGUCGGGUUGCGGCGUAUUGUUUGGCCGAGGCCAGGCAUGACCCAGGAAAGUGUGUUCGGCCGGAGUUAAUCGAGCGUGGUGGGUAAGUUGGUGCACCCCUGUAGGGAAGAAAACAUCUAUCGAUAGCCUGUCUUACGGUAACGGACACUUGGAGUUGUAUCCCGAUCGAUACAACUAGAACUGGAUACUUGAGAUGAGAAAUGGAUAUGAGAAAUGGAUAGUAUGGCUCUGGGAUUGCUUUCUCGUAGGGAGUCGAGAAAGGAUCUUUGGCCGAGGUUGAUAACACUACUACUACUUUAUAUUAUGUUUGAUCUAUACUCUUCUAUAUGCUGCAACAUGAUUGAAGAUGCUUGAAGAUGCUAGUCUUCGAUAUGCUAGGCUUUCCCCUUCUUUCUGGCAUUCUGCAGUUUAGUCCACAGAUACAACCCAUUUCCUUUGAUACUGAUGCAUACUUAGGUUAUAUCUGAUGUAAGUCUUGCGAGUACUUUGGAUGAGUACUCACGGCUGCUUUGCUACCUCUUUUCCCUCAUACCCGAUUGUUGCGACCAGAUGACGGAUCCCAGGAGCCAGACGACACCAUAAUGACUACUGCUACCCCGAGGGUGCGUACUACUACGUGACGGCCGCUGACGACUUGGAGUAGUUAGGAGGCUUCUAGGCAGGAGGCCUUGCCUUUUCGAUCGUUGUUGCUUUUGUGCUAGCCUUAUUAAGGCAAACUUGUUUAACUUAUGUUUGUACUCAGAUAUUGUUGCUUCCGCUGACUCUUAUGUAUUCGAGCUUGUGUACUCGAGCCCUCGAGGCCCCUGGCUUGUAAUAUAAAGCUUGUAUUAUUUUAAUUUGUGUCUAGAAUUGUGUUGUGAUAUAUUCCCGUGAGUCAUUGAUCUUGAUCGUACACAUUUGCGUGUAUGAUUAGUGUACGAUUGAAUCGAGGGCGUCAUAAGUUGGUAUCAG